GAUGAACGCUGGCGGCGUGCCUAAUACAUGCAAGUCGAGCGAACCACUUCGGUGGUGAGCGGCGAACGGGUGAGUAACACGUAGGUGAUCUGCCCAUCAGACGGGGACAACGAUUGGAAACGAUCGCUAAUACCGGAUAGGACGAAAGUUUAAAGGUGCUUCCGGCACCGCUGAUGGAUGAGCCUGCGGCGCAUUAGCUAGUUGGUAGGGUAAAGGCCUACCAAGGCGACGAUGCGUAGCCGACCUGAGAGGGUGAACGGCCACACUGGGACUGAGACACGGCCCAGACUCCUACGGGAGGCAGCAGUAGGGAAUCUUCGGCAAUGGGCGAAAGCCUGACCGAGCAACGCCGCGUGGAUGAUGAAGGCCUUCGGGUUGUAAAAUUCUGUUAUAAGGGAAGAACGACUUUAGUAGGAAAUGGCUAGAGUGUGACGGUACCUUAUGAGAAAGCCACGGCUAACUACGUGCCAGCCGCCGCCGUAA
rnacentral:rRNA from 1 species